rnacentral:rRNA from 1 species
GUGGGGAAUUUUGGACAAUGGGCGAAAGCCUGAUCCAGCCAUGCCGCGUGCAGGAUGAAGGCCUUCGGGUUGUAAACUGCUUUUGUACGGAACGAAACGGUCCUGGUUAAUACCUGGGGCUAAUGACGGUACCGUAAGAAUAAGCACCGGCUAACUACGUGCCAGCAGCCGCGGUAAUACGUAGGGUGCGAGCGUUAAUCGGAAUUACUGGGCGUAAAGCGUGCACAGGCGGUGCUGUAAGACAGGCGUGAAAUCCCCGGGCUCAACCUGGGAAUUGCGCUUGUGACUGCAGUGCUGGAGUACGGCAGAGGGGGAUGGAAUUCCGCGUGUAGCAGUGAAAUGCGUAGAUAUGCGGAGGAACACCGAUGGCGAAGGCAGUCCCCUGGGCCUGUACUGACGCUCAUGCACGAAAGCGUGGGGAGCAAACAGGAUUAGAUACCCGUGUAGUCC